rnacentral:rRNA from 1 species
AUGGGACGCAUUGGGAAUGCUCAGCUCGACAGAGUUUCAGAUUUGUUUGAGCAGGACCGGCGCGCAUGGGAUAUAGAAGUGGUGCGGAACAAUUUCCUUGCUCCUGAUGCGGACGCCAUUCUCAACAUUCCGUUGAGGGCAGCUGGAGGUGAGGAUUUUUAUGCUUGGGCUCUCGAACGAUCGGGUGUUUAUUCCGUCAAAACAGCUUACCGUGCUUUAAUGACUCGCAAAGGGCAACUAGCCCCAGAGGAAGGGACGGUAGCGGGACCAUCAUCGCCGGAUAGACACUUAUGGAGAGCUGUGUGGAAACUCAAGGUUAUACCAAGAGUACGUGUAUUCUGGUGGCGUGUUCUCCGGGGGAUUCUCCCUGAUUAUGCCACUCUGCAGCACCGUCAUAUUCGAACUUUGGCUCGCUGUGACCUCUGUCAAGCUAUGACGGAGGAUCUUCAACAUGUGUUAAUGUUCUGCUCGCAUGCAAGGCAAUAUUGGAGGGCUGCAAAAGAGAUUCUGGACAUCAAAUUGCCAAACCUGCAUCCGUCAAAUUGGGCACGGGACAUUGUACUGGAUGGUAUUAUUCUGGAUCAUGACGAGGGAAACUUAUUACAGUUAUGCACGCGAUAUGGACAUCGCGCAACCGAUGGACACAUGAUCAACCUGUUUUUGAUCCGGUUCAAUCGGUGA